rnacentral:rRNA from 1 species
AGUAACGCGUAUGCAACUAACCUCUUACAGGAAGAUAGCCCCGAGAAAUCGGGAUUAAUACUCCAUAACGAUAUUUUUUGGCAUCAAAGAAUAUUUAAAGCUCCGGCGGUAAGAGACGGGCAUGCGUAACAUUAGCUAGUUGGUGAGGUAACGGCUCACCAAGGCGACGAUGUUUAGGGGGUCUGAGAGGAUGAUCCCCCACACUGGUACUGAGACACGGACCAGACUCC